rnacentral:rRNA from 1 species
AAAUUGAAGAGUUUGAUCAUGGCUCAGAUUGAACGCUGGCGGCAGGCCUAACACAUGCAAGUCGAGCGGUAGCACAGAGAGCUUGCUCUCGGGUGACGAGCGGCGGACGGGUGAGUAAUGUCUGGGAAACUGCCUGAUGGAGGGGGAUAACUACUGGAAACGGUAGCUAAUACCGCAUAACGUCGCAAGACCAAAGUGGGGGACCUUCGGGCCUCAUGCCAUCAGAUGUGCCCAGAUGGGAUUAGCUAGUAGGUGGGGUAAUGGCUCACCUAGGCGACGAUCCCUAGCUGGUCUGAGAGGAUGACCAGCCACACUGGAACUGAGACACGGUCCAGACUCCUACGGGAGGCAGCAGUGGGGAAUAUUGCACAAUGGGCGCAAGCCUGAUGCAGCCAUGCCGCGUGUAUGAAGAAGGCCUUCGGGUUGUAAAGUACUUUCAGCGAGGAGGAAGGCAUUAAGGUUAAUAACCUUGGUGAUUGACGUUACUCGCAGAAGAAGCACCGGCUAACUCCGUGCCAGCAGCCGCGGUAAUACGGAGGGUGCAAGCGUUA